rnacentral:rRNA from 1 species
GACGAACGCUGGCGGCGUGCCUAAUACAUGCAAGUAGAACGCUGAAGAGAGGAGCUUGCUCUUCUUGGAUGAGUUGCGAACGGGUGAGUAACGCGUAGGUAACCUGCCUUGUAGCGGGGGAUAACUAUUGGAAACGAUAGCUAAUACCGCAUAACAAUGGAUGACACAUGUCAUUUAUUUGAAAGGGGCAAUUGCUCCACUAAAAGAUGGACCUUCGUUGUAUUAGUUAGUAGGUGAGGUAAUGGCUCACCUAGGCGUCGAUACAUAGCCGACCUGAUAGGGUGAGCGGCCACACUGGGAGUGUGACACGGCCCAUACGCCUUCGGGAGGCAGCAGUAGGGAAUCGGCGGCAAUGGGUGCAACCCUGACCGAGCAACGCCGCAGGAGGGAAGAAGGUUUUCGGAUCGUAAAGCUCUGUUGUAAGGCAAUAACGGGUGUGAGAGUGUAAAGUUCACACUGUGACGGUAGCGUACCAGAAAGGAACGGCUAACUACGUG